GCUUCAGGUAGCUCAACUGGUUAGAGCCUGGUACUGAUCAUGCCAGGACUGCAGGUUCGAUUCUCAUGUGGAACA